rnacentral:rRNA from 1 species
UACGUAGGCAGCAAGCGUUAUUCGGAAUCACUGGGCUUAAAGGGUGCGUAAGCGGCGCGACAAGUUGGGUGUGAAAUCCCUCGGCUCAACCGAGGAACUGCGCCCAAAACUGUCGUGCUCGAGGGAGACAGAGGUGAGCGGAACUUAGGGUGGAGCGGUGAAAUGCGUUGAUAUCCUAAGGAACACCGGUGGCGAAAGCGGCUCACUGGGUCUCUUCUGACGCUGAGGCACGAAAGCUAGGGUAGCGAACGGG